ensembl:lncRNA
CAGAAGGCAGAAGUGAAAGAGAGGGUGGAGAUUGCAUGAGAUGAACCUAUGGGCACACUGACGAAGUCACGACUGAUUGUGUGUUUUAAUGUGAGCGAGUGUGACAGCACUUAUGUUAGUUGGAUUUGUGAUUAAACGCUUAGAAAUGAAGCUCUCCUGCCCUCUGAUCUGUGGGAUCAUUUUGUCCUGGAUUUGCUUCAGAGUUUCAAGUGAGAAUCUGUCUGUGAUUCAGAGUCCAUCCAGCAUCACUGUGAAUGAAGGAGAAUCUACUCAAAUCAGCUGCUGCUGGAAUGAAACCAUACAGAAUGUUAAAUUUGCUUGGUACAUUAAUGAGAAAAAACUAAACCAGGAUCUCCAAGAACAUAAAACACAGAACUGUGCAAUUCUGAACCUCACAAACAUACUUAAAAAUGCUUCAGGUCAUUAUGUUUGUGAAGUGACUCAAGACAUACCAGUCCUGCUUCAGGAGAAUGGUAGUGGAACAGUCAUAACUGUCAGCGACAUACUAUAUAACAAAACAGAGACUGUUUCUAGCCAGCCUCAAACCACUCAGACUGCACACAGUGACACUUCACCUCUAUCUCUGCCUUUGUCUCUGGCUGCUGCCGUCGGCCUGCUGACCCUCUGCUUGGCCUUCAGUGUGUGCAAGAUGAGAAACUCCUGUAAAAAAUCAGAGCGAGUGGUCAUUCACCAGACGCCUAACAGUGAGGGUGAGGAGCAUGAGCACAUGGAAGAAGAGGACGGCAGCACGGGCUCCUCUCGAGGAUCCCUCCAAUGGUAUCAAGUGCCUGUUUACUGGUCUUACUUUGAUCUACAGAGGGGUGAAGACCAGUGACAACCAGAAAGGAAAGACAAACGUGAUGUUCAGUUCACUGGAUUGCAUUUUGCAUUCUCUCCCCUUUCAUGAGAGCAUUUUUGUAAAUAGCAGAAGUGAUUUUAAUCUUCAGAUAGGCUUCUUGAAACCCUCAGUUAAAGCUCUUGAUUGUGCUAGCAGAUGUUAAUCUCUCUGUUUGUAUAGCAGCUCUAUUGAUUUGUUUUUUCUUAUUUUAAUUUCUUUUACAUUUUUUUUAUGAGAGAUUUCUUUAAUUAAAAUGAAGAUGUGUCAUACUGACACGCAUGAAAAACUACUUGGAUUUCAUGCCCAGACAGAUGUAAAAAAGUUUUAUAAUAAAGAGUUUUAUGCUGUACA